GGUUAAGUAAAUAAGGGCAUGCGGUGAAUGCCUUGGCGCUAAGAGCCGAAGAAGGACGCGGUAAGCUGCGAAAAGCCGUGCUGAGUCGCAAGCAGACAAAGACACACGGAUCUCCGAAUAGGAAAACCCCAUUGGAGUAAUGUCCAAUGACCCACUGGUGAACACAUAGCCAGUGAGGAGGCAACCUAGGGAACUGAAACAUCUAAGUACCUAGAGGAAAAGAAAGAAAACUCGAUUCCCCCAGUAACGGCGAGCGAACAGGGAACAGCCCAAACCGGACUUGUCCGGGGUAAGGACACU
rnacentral:rRNA from 1 species